UGGAUAGAAAAUUGGCUUGAGCAUCAGGCUCAGAUGGUAAUAAUCAGUGGCUCGAUGUCUAGUUAGCAGCCGGUAUCAAGUAGAGUGUCAGUCCUGGGGCUUGUUUUGUUCAAUGUCUUUACCAGCAACCUGGAAGAUGGCAUAGACCGCACCCUCCACAAGUUUGCAGAUGACACUAAGCUGCGAGCAGUAGCAGAUAUGCUGAAGGGUGGGGCUAGGAUUCAGAGUGACUUAGAUAAAUUGGAGGAUUGGGCCAAAAGGAAUCUCACGAGGUUCAACAGGGACAACUGCAAAGUCCUUCAUUUAGGAUGGAACAAUCCCAUGCACUGGUACAGGCUGGGGGCUGACUGGGUGGGCAGCAGCUCUACAAAAAAGGACCUCAGGGUUACAGUGGACAAUAAGCUGAAUAUGAGCCAGCAGUGUGCCCUUUUUGCCAAGAAGGCUAACAGCAUACUGGGCUGCAUUGGUAGGAGUAUUGCCAGUAGGUCCAGGGAAGUGAUUAUUCCCUUCUAUUCAGCACUGGUGAGGCUACAUCUGGAGUACUGUGUUUAGUUUAGGGACCCCACUACAGAAAGGAUGUGAACAAAUUGGAGAAAGUCCAGCAGAGAACAACAAAAAUGGUGAGGGGGCUGGGGGAUAUGAUUUCUGAGGAGAGGCUGAGGGAACUGGGCUUAUUUAGUCUAGAGAAGAGACAACUGAGAGGGGACUUAAUAGCAGCCUUCAACUACCUGAAGGGGGUUACAAAGAGGAUGUAGAUAGAGUGUUCUCAGUGGUGGCAGAUGACAGAACAAGGAGCAAUGGUCUCAAGUUGCAGCAAGGGAAGCUUAGGUUAGAUAUUAAUAAGAAUUUUCUCACUAGGAGGGUAGUAAAACACUGGAGAAGGUUACCCAGAGAGAUUGUGGAAUCUCCAUCCUUGGAGGUUUUUAAGACCUGGCUAGACAAAGCUUUGGCUGGGAUGAUCUAGUAGGGAGUGGUCCUGCUUUAAGCAGGGGUUGGGCUAGAUGAGUUGCUGAGGUCCCUUCCAUCCCUAAUUAUCUAUGAUUCUAUGAUUCUUGACUCCCCUGAGGACUUGGACCCAAGAAUAUAUGGGAACUGGGAGGAAAUUGAGGCAAGGAAAUGCACGUAGGAAUUUUUAAUUUGUGUGUGUGUGUGCAUGUGCACAUGUGCACAGAGAGAAAACAACUGCAUGCGUAUGUCUAGUGCUAACUAAAGAAUGAGAGUGAUUUGGGUUUUUUUAGGUUAUACAGUUGCUGUAGUCCCUUAUGAAGUCCCUGUAUCUAUUUGCUUCAAAUAACGCGUGCUCUGAAGAGCUGAACUCUAAACCCAGAGUGCCCAUGAAGUUUGGGCUAUGGGAAAGGAUGUGCUUACGCUUCUGCAGAAUGCAGUAGUCAGCUCUGGUCUUGGGAACAUACAGCAACUGGCUGCAAGGUCAUCUCUUCCGAAAGAUUACCAGAGAACACGCGUCCAGGAAACAUGUUAGAAAGAUCAAGGAAAGAGUCAGCACUGCAGGCUACUCUGACCAAGGGAAUCUUAAGAGCACCUGGACACAGAGUGGUAAGAUCCAGCCACACCAGCCUGGUGAGUGUCCAUGUGGAGAACUUCUUCCAGGCCUGUGUGACACCACUAAUACACAAUGUAUCAGAGACUGAAGUUUGGAUGAUUGAGAAUGUAUUGUAUAAUGUCUGAGCUCCUUCCAGUAGUAUCUUAAGUGCAGUCACUAACAUCUGCAACCAGUGGUUCAUUUCCUGCCUCAUCAUCUGAGGGAGAAGUAAUGUGUUGGAAGAACAGUUUAAAAUAAAUACAGUGUGUGCAAUGGUGUGACCCUCCCAUGUGGAAGGGAAGGUCAAAAACAUGCCCUGGCACUUGCCCGAGAAGGUGGUUUUUGUCAUCAUUUCCCACCUCUUGCUGAGUCUGGGCCACUGUGCAGAUAAGAAGGGAAGAUCCGUGGAAGCUGCAAGAGAAAGCAAGCAAGAGGAAACACAGGCAAAAGCAGGUUCUUGCCUCUACUCCCAGGCCUACUUAUGCAUUUUGCAUUAAAGAAGAGCUGAAUAAAAUACAUGGGUAGCCAUGGUAUCGGAACCAGGAGUGCAGGCUUCCCCUGUCCCAGAUGAGUGCCUGUAAUAGGGAACCCUAGCCCUGUUACUAAGAAGUGGAGCGGCCCCUUUAAGACUAGGGUCUUCAGAGCGCAGCCUGCCAGCAGAGCAGGGGUUAAAGGAUAGCCCUACCAGCUGGUCAGCUGAGUGGGGCUGCCAGGUGACUGGGUGAGGGUACAGGCCUGAACUAUAUAAGCCCUGGUCUGAGGUGGCCAGGGAAGCCCAGGUUGGGACGGAGAGUGGACUCUUGAAGGCUUCAAGCAAAGCUGCAGCAGCCCUACAUGUGAGAGCACCAGGCAGUGAAAGUCAGAGACUAUGGACUGAAAUUCAAGCACAACUGCACCGUGAACCAAAGCUUGAGCUCUAACACGAUAAAUGGAGCUGUUCAGAAACAUGGGAAUAAUCAUUCUGAUCCAGCUGUGUGAAGCACUUGGAGAGUUCUGCACGAAUAGGCAAGUGUUACAUCUUCUGUCUAAGAGCAUCCAGGCUAGUGUCAUCGGUUUUCAAGAUCACAUUUAUUUACUUUGCAGGCAGGUUUAGAAGUACCCUGGUUAGAUUCCUUCUCCAUACUGCAGCAGCUUUGGUAUUACUGUUCAGGCAGCUGAAGGAAUCAGUUGACUUAAUGGCUCACUGUUCUUCACUCUACCGGUAUUAACAGUUGUCACUCCUUUCUAAUGAUUUUGUUCCGUUAAUCAGGCUAACUUUUCUUAGGGCAAUUUUACUGUCUGCUAGCAACUCCUCAUCCAUUUCACACCCUCUUUGGCUCUUUAGUUCUCUUUAAAAAUCAUAGACCCACCCAUGGAGACCAGUGUUCAGCCUGCAGCUAGGAAUUCAACUUUCAUUAUGCAGAAAUGGGAGGGUGAUUCAGCUGAAGAUUAUGUACUGUCUCUAUUCUAUGCAGCCAUAACCUCUGAAAAAAUCUUUUAUUCCUCAAUCUGCUUGCAGAAACAAGGUAUAUAUUGUGUUUGGGGGUAUGUUUGUAUGUGAGAAAUAUAAGAUAUUCACCCUAGUUAUACAAGUACUAAAACCAUUAGCUAGCAAUGCCAUCAUUUAUGCAAAAAUACUGACAUGUACUCUUGCACUCCAUCAGUGCCUUAUGCAUUUAUCACCAGCCCUGAACUUCGCACCAGAAAUACUGAGCUUGUUGAGUACCCAGGUAGUUUCCCUAUGCAACAAGGAAAUUGUAUUACAAAGCCUUCUGGGGUUUUUUCCCCUGGCAUAUUUGACUGUAGCAAAACUAUAACUAAGUUUUAUAAAAGAUGAGUUUUUGUUUGAUUUCAAAUGUUCAAGAGUUUAUUCUACCAGGCUUCCAGUGCAUAUGCAGAGGAGGUUUUAAUAAUGUCUCACUGGUAUUUAAUCACCUCUUGGGUGUUGCUCUUAUUAACUCAGUGGAUCUUGAAUCUUAAACCACAGAAACAAUUUUUUCCUCCCUGAAUUCAUCUGGGCAGAUUAAGACAGCCCAAGAUUUAGUGAUCAUUAGGCAGGCUCAGUUGUUGAAAACUAUCUUCCUUGGUGAUGAAUCCUCAGAAUUAGUGGGCUGCUGCAGUUUGCACAUAAUCACAAAUGGACUCUUCAACAGAGCAUUUUUCCCAGCAGGGCUGCAGUUGAGGAGCUCCCUUCUUUAAAAGAUUUGACAGCCAACCAAAUGCUUUCUAGACCAAAAGCAAAAGCCACCUCUUUACAAAUCAAACUUGCAAAGUCACUAUUUCUAAUAAGUGUAUAGUAGGUCUGUUUCAGGAUGUGCUAGAGAAAUUGGGAGGAGAGAAGUGAUAUCAAGUCCUCAGCAAUCCCUUCUAUUUCAUAGUGAGUGUGGUGGAGAAAAUGCAUGUAUGGGUGUUAACUGAAUUUCUAUUAAAAAUGGCUGUGUACUGAGGAGGGAGUUUGGAUAGUUAAAUUGGAGAGGAAGGGGGAACUCCUUUUCAAAAGGACACUGGCACUGUACAGGACUCAUUAUAUUUUAAUUCUAGAAGUAUCCUCCUUUCUACUGUAAUCCUUGAAUGUCACUGUGAUGGCAUAGAAGGGCUGUAAAAGUCUGUUAGCUAACUGGAAGAGAAUACCUUAUGUGCAGGCACUGCAUUAAAUGGCCCCAAGUUGCCUUAUACAGGCCUCCUUGUAGCAACCCUGGCAUAGGGGACAAGUCGGGGAGUGUCCCUCUGUGGGCUAGGGCUCUGCUUAGUAGGAGGCUCUGUAAUCUUCAUUUCUGGAUGCUCCAUUUUGCACCAGGGGAUGGUCCAGUCUCCCAGAAAUGAAUGGGAAGAGCCAUAUUUUCCUAGUAGCUUUUUGUGAAGUUAAAAUCUCUUCCUGUAUUAAUGCUGUAAUUUUUUUUUUCUCCCCUGUUGCUGUAUAUGCAUACUCAUAGGGCUGCUCAUAAGUGGAGGCUUGCUAAAUUUGGGCUGAAGCAUUGUUGGGGUUUGUUUGUUUGUUUUAAUACAGGCAUUUGUUAAAGGGCAAAAAACCCAAAAAGUAGUAUGCAGACUUUGUAAAUAAAUAUAAGAAUCAAAACACAUAGGCCUGAAAUAGCACACUGUCAGCCCUGGACCACAAAGCACUUUCCAAAGCUGGCUCAGAAUUACUGUCUCUAUUCUUUAGAUAUGGAAACUGAAGCACAGAGAAGUAAUGUAACUUGCUCAAAGUCAUACAAGAGUUAGUGGCAGACCUGGGUUGGGAGGGGGAAGCAUAUGUUUUGACACUUCAGCCUAUGUGCAGACUGCAGGACAGGUGUGUAAAAUACAAGAUCACCUGGGGACAGAUACCUAUAAUCUGCUCAGUUUCUUGAAUGAUGAAAUAUAACACUCAGUUGCGAUGCCAAAAAGGCUAUCAUUAUCUCUUGAAGAUGGAGAUAAGUCCAGAUUGGACCCUCAGAUCCAGCCCCUAACCCAUAUUUGUUUCCCACACUUCUCAAAUGCAAAAAGCAAACACUCCUACUUUUGCAGGUCAUGGCACUGGCUACCUCAAGGGAGCCUUCUUUCCAGGAUGGCAGGGGUGCGUUCUGCUUUCUAAUUGAAGUACAGCUGGUUUGACCCAGCCCUAGCUUUCCCCAUUCCAUUACUUUUUUUUUUUUUUUUAA